UACGUAGGGGGCAAGCGUUGUCCGGAAUUACUGGGCGUAAAGCGUGCGCAGGCGGUUGUGCAAGACAGAUGUGAAAUCCCCGGGCUCAACCUGGGAACUGCAUUUGUGACUGCACGGCUGGAGUGCGGCAGAGGGGGAUGGAAUUCCGCGUGUAGCAGUGAAAUGCGUAGAUAUGCGGAGGAACACCGAUGGCGAAGGCAAUCCCCUGGGCCUGCACUGACGCUCAUGCACGAAAGCGUGGGGAGCAAACAGG
rnacentral:rRNA from 1 species